rnacentral:rRNA from 1 species
CGGAGGGUGCGAGCGUUGUCCGGAAUCACUGGGCGUAAAGGGCGCGUAGGUGGCUUCUCAAGCGCGCGGUGAAAGCCCGGGGCUCAACCCCGGGUCGGCCGUGCGGACUGGGAGGCUCGAGCACUGUAGGGGCGGGUGGAAUUCCGGGUGUAGCGGUGGAAUGCGUAGAGAUCCGGAAGAACACCGGUGGCGAAGGCAGCCCGCUGGGCAGGAAGGCUCGCAAGAGCCGGCUGACACUGAGGCGCGACAGCGUGGGGAGCAAACAGGAUUAGAUACCCUGGUAGUCCACGCCGUAAACGAUGGGCACUAGGUGCUUGGGGGAGCGACCCCCCGGGUGCCGGCGCUAACGCAUUAAGUGCCCCGCCUGGGGAGUACGGCCGCAAGGCUG